CCCAAGUAUGGAAGCCAUGAGAUAUUGGUGCUUUACUGGGUGUCAUCGACUUUGAAAUUGUCAGUUACUUUAGAAAUGAGGGACUUUCGCUACUAAAGAUACAGGGAAUAAUAAGAUGUGCUCUGACAAACCUUGUAACCAUUUAGACUCUUCAUACUGCUUUCAGGUAAAGUUUUUGGAAACCAAUCGCCUUUAAGCCCGGUUAUCAAUGGCCACAUAAUUCCCCAAGAGAGAACAGCACCAAGAAGCAAAGACAAAUUCACAAGAUGUGAACAGAUCAUUCCCGCACCGAUAUAAGUCAUACUGAAAUCAAAGUAAAAUCUGCAAAAUUCAAUUUCUUUAAUCAAUAAUGAUGAAAGGAUUAUUCACAGCCAAGACAAUAAGGAGCAACAUAUUGAGUACGAACGAAUUUUUCCAAGCUUUCAGUCCAAACGUAGGAAAUUGAACAAAUCCGCAUUGCUCUCCUCCUGCAUAGAACCACUGAAAGAAAGCCCACAGGAAACUAAGAGAAAAGAAUUUCGUGA
rnacentral:lncRNA from 1 species